rnacentral:rRNA from 1 species
GAUGAACGCUGGCGGCGUGCCUCAAACAUGCAAGUCGAGCGGGGCUAUGUAAUAUCGCAAGGUAGAACAUAGCCUAGCGGCGAACGGGUGAGUAACACGUGGGUAACCUGCCUGGAAGACAGGGAUAACGAUUCGAAAGGGUCGCUAAUACCUGAUAAUAUCCUUUCAUCGCAUGGUGAUAGGAAGAAAGGGGAAACCCGCUUUCAGAUGGGCCCGCGUCCCAUCAGCUAGUUGGUAAGGUAAAGGCUUACCAAGGCGACGACGGGUAGCCGGUCUGAGAGGAUGUACGGCCACACUGGGACUGAGAUACGGCCCAGACUCCUACGGGAGGCAGCAGUUGGGAAUCUUAGGCAAUGGACGAAAGUCUGACCUAGCGACGCCGCGUGAGGGAAGAAGGCCUUCGGGUUGUAAACCUCUGUCAUGGGGGAAGAAGUAAGUGACGGUACCCAAGAGGAAGCCCCUGCUAACUACGUGCCAGCAGCCGCGGUAAAAGUACUCUAAU